AACUCAGGAAAUAUCUUACAAGUUUUUCAAAUAUCUUGCAAGCAGCGUUUUUAUGACCGUUUUUUUACUUUUUUUUGUGCACAAGUCCAAGGGCCUACCUACACACACUCGUUGUAAACCAUUUAGUUUUAUUUUCGGUGGUUCCCUGUUCAAUUAGACGAUAUUUUCGUUUCGUAAAACCCAAGACGGCGGACGAAACUGAAGAAGCUCUAGAGCGAGGAAGCCACUAUUCGCACAUGAUCUUACGCCGAAUUCCAAACUCCAGGAAAGUAUUUAGGUUAUUUCUGCAGUUGUCAUGUGCACAUGGAAUUUUACAGGCAAGAAAUGCAGUAUGGAUAGGUCCUUCUUCGUCUGUGAAAAUUCGUAACAUUUUGCUCUGCGCCGAUUUCGUCUGCCAUCUUGGAUCUGUAAUCUGCCAGUCGUUAUUUUUUUCUGUCUUCGCUUCAGGAUUCCUGUGGAUGUCCGCGCAACAGCAAAUAACGACUGGGUACGAGUCUGGGACAGGACGACUUUCCACCUUGCCUAGCCUCAGGUAUCGGUAUAGGGAAAGUCAUGUAAAGCGUAGCCUGUUGGGGGCUACAUCUUGCUAUCUUCCAAUGACUGCAAACUUCACCAUUACACAAAAUAUAACCGUUAUUGAAACCCUUAGUUUUUAUUGACCUGUUUAUUUUAUUUACAUAAGAUGAUAUGUACUGCAUACCAUGAGCUCUAAAGAUAAUACACAAAUAAUAAACAGUUGCGGAGCUAAGGGCAGAAUCUUCCAACAGUGCGCGAGUCACUUGAAGUCCUUGUUUUGUCAAGAUACCAAUUUUUGAAAGUCAUGUCGGUGUCUAGAGGCGGAAAAUGCUACUUUUUUUUAUUUACUUUACAGUCGACUAUCUCUAAAACACGGUAAAUU